UACAGAGGUCUCAAGCGUUGUUCGGAUUCAUUGGGCGUAAAGGGGUGCGUAGGCGGCGCGGUAAGUCGGGGUGUGAAAUCUCGGAGCUUAACUCCGAAAACUGCAUUCGAUACUGCCGUGCUUUGAGGACUGGAGAGGAGACUGGAAUUUACGGUGUAGCGGUGAAAUGCGUAGAUAUCGUAAGGAAGACCAGUGGCGAAGGCGGGGUCUCUGGACAGUU
rnacentral:rRNA from 1 species